GGUUAAGCGACUAAGCGUACACGGUGGAUGCCCUGGCAGUCAGAGGCGAUGAAGGGCGUGCUAAUCUGCGAUAAGCGCCGGUAAGGUGAUAUGAACCGUUAUAACCGGCGAUACCCGAAUGGGGAAACCCAGUGUGAUUCGUCACACUAUCAUUAACUGAAUCCAUAGGUUAAUGAGGCGAACCGGGGGAACUGAAACAUCUAAGUACCCCGAGGAAAAGAAAUCAACCGAGAUUCCCCCAGUAGCGGCGAGCGAACGGGGAGGAGCCCAGAGCCUGAAUCAGCAUGUGUGUUAGUGGAAGCGUCUGGAAAGGCGCGCGAUACAGGGUGACAGCCCCGUACACAAAAGCGCAUGUGCUGUGAGCUCGAUGAGUAGGGCGGGACACGUGGUAUCCUGUCUGAAUAUGGGGGGACCAUCCUCCAAGGCUAAAUACUCCUGACUGACCGAUAGUGAACCAGUACCGUGAGGGAAAGGCGAAAAGAACCCCGGCGAGGGGAGUGAAAAAGAACCUGAAACCGUGUACGUACAAGCAGUGGGAGCACAGGUUUACCUGUGUGACUGCGUACCUUUUGUAUAAUGGGUCAGCGACUUAUAUUCUGUAGCAAGGUUAACCGUAUAGGGGAGCCGGAGGGAAACCGAGUCUUAACCGGGCGUUAAGUUGCAGGGUAUAGACCCGAAACCCGGUGAUCUAGCCAUGGGCAGGUUGAAGGUUGGGUAACACUAACUGGAGGACCGAACCGACUAAUGUUGAAAAAUUAGCGGAUGACCUGUGGCUGGGGGUGAAAGGCCAAUCAAACCGGGAGAUAGCUGGUUCUCCCCGAAAGCUAUUUAGGUAGCGCCUCGUGAAUUCAUCUCCGGGGGUAGAGCACUGUUUCGGCUAGGGGGCCAUCCCGGCUUACCAACCCGAUGCAAACUGCGAAUACCGGAGAAUGUUAUCACGGGAGACACACGGCGGGUGCUAACGUCCGUCGUGAAGAGGGAAACAACCCAGACCGCCAGCUAAGGUCCCAAAGUCAUGGUUAAGUGGGAAACGAUGUGGGAAGGCCCAGACAGCCAGGAUGUUGGCUUAGAAGCAGCCAUCAUUUAAAGAAAGCGUAAUAGCUCACUGGUCGAGUCGGCCUGCGCGGAAGAUGUAACGGGGCUAAACCAUGCACCGAAGCUGCGGCAGCGACGCUGAUGCGUUGUUGGGUAGGGGAGCGUUCUGUAAGCCUGUGAAGGUGUGUCGUGAGGCAUGCUGGAGGUAUCAGAAGUGCGAAUGCUGACAUAAGUAACGAUAAAGCGGGUGAAAAGCCCGCUCGCCGGAAGACCAAGGGUUCCUGUCCAACGUUAAUCGGGGCAGGGUGAGUCGACCCCUAAGGCGAGGCCGAAAGGCGUAGUCGAUGGGAAACGGGUUAAUAUUCCCGUACUUGGUGUUACUGCGAAGGGGGGACGGAGAAGGCUAUGUUGGCCGGGCGACGGUUGUCCCGGUUUAAGCGUGUAGGUGUGUGUUCCAGGUAAAUCCGGUUCACUUUAACACUGAGGCGUGAUGACGAGGCACUACGGUGCUGAAGCAACAAAUGCCCUGCUUCCAGGAAAAGCCUCUAAGCAUCAGGUAACAUCAAAUCGUACCCCAAACCGACACAGGUGGUCAGGUAGAGAAUACCAAGGCGCUUGAGAGAACUCGGGUGAAGGAACUAGGCAAAAUGGUGCCGUAACUUCGGGAGAAGGCACGCUGACACGUAGGUGAAGUGAUUUACUCAUGGAGCUGAAGUCAGUCGAAGAUACCAGCUGGCUGCAACUGUUUAUUAAAAACACAGCACUGUGCAAACACGAAAGUGGACGUAUACGGUGUGACGCCUGCCCGGUGCCGGAAGGUUAAUUGAUGGGGUCAGCGCAAGCGAAGCUCCUGAUCGAAGCCCCGGUAAACGGCGGCCGUAACUAUAACGGUCCUAAGGUAGCGAAAUUCCUUGUCGGGUAAGUUCCGACCUGCACGAAUGGCGUAAUGAUGGCCAGGCUGUCUCCACCCGAGACUCAGUGAAAUUGAACUCGCUGUGAAGAUGCAGUGUACCCGCGGCAAGACGGAAAGACCCCGUGAACCUUUACUAUAGCUUGACACUGAACAUUGAGCCUUGAUGUGUAGGAUAGGUGGGAGGCUUUGAAGUGUGGACGCCAGUCUGCAUGGAGCCGACCUUGAAAUACCACCCUUUAAUGUUUGAUGUUCUAACGUGGACCCGUAAUCCGGGUUGCGGACAGUGUCUGGUGGGUAGUUUGACUGGGGCGGUCUCCUCCUAAAGAGUAACGGAGGAGCACGAAGGUUGGCUAAUCCUGGUCGGACAUCAGGAGGUUAGUGCAAUGGCAUAAGCCAGCUUGACUGCGAGCGUGACGGCGCGAGCAGGUGCGAAAGCAGGUCAUAGUGAUCCGGUGGUUCUGAAUGGAAGGGCCAUCGCUCAACGGAUAAAAGGUACUCCGGGGAUAACAGGCUGAUACCGCCCAAGAGUUCAUAUCGACGGCGGUGUUUGGCACCUCGAUGUCGGCUCAUCACAUCCUGGGGCUGAAGUAGGUCCCAAGGGUAUGGCUGUUCGCCAUUUAAAGUGGUACGCGAGCUGGGUUUAGAACGUCGUGAGACAGUUCGGUCCCUAUCUGCCGUGGGCGCUGGAGAACUGAGGGGGGCUGCUCCUAGUACGAGAGGACCGGAGUGGACGCAUCACUGGUGUUCGGGUUGUCAUGCCAAUGGCACUGCCCGGUAGCUAAAUGCGGAAGAGAUAAGUGCUGAAAGCAUCUAAGCACGAAACUUGCCCCGAGAUGAGUUCUCCCUGAGACUUAGAGUCUCCUGAAGGAACGUUGAAGACGACGACGUUGAUAGGCCGGGUGUGUAAGCGCAGCGAUGCGUUGAGCUAACCGGUACUAAUGAACCGUGAGGCUUAACCUU
rnacentral:rRNA from 1 species